rnacentral:misc_RNA from 1 species
GGGAUCAUUACAGGGUCUGACGACUGCCCAAACCACACCGUGCACUCUUUUUACUACAAUGCUUCGGCGGGUCGCUCGCUGGGGGAGCCCACCGGCCGCGGAAACGCGGUGGCCCGCCGAGGCAUGCCCCAAACCAUGAAAACAACUUUCUGAAUAUCAUCUACUCCGAACGGAGAAGAAAUAAGUCACAACUCAUAACAAUGGAUCUCUUGGUUCUGGCAUCGAUGAAGAACGCAGCGAAAUGCGAUAAAUAAUAUGAAUUGCAGAAUUCAGCGAAUCAUCGAGUUUUUGAACGCACAUUGCGCCCUCUGGUAUUCCGGAGGGCUUGUCCGACCGAGCGUCGCGUCACCGCUCAAGCCCCCCGGCUUGGUGUUGGGGACU